rnacentral:rRNA from 1 species
AUUGAACGCUGGCGGCGUGCUUAACACAUGCAAGUCGAUCGGUAACAGGUGUAGCAAUACAUGCUGACGAGAGGCGGACGGGUGAGUAAUGCUUGGGAAUCUGCCUAUUAGUGGGGGACAACCCGGGGAAACUCGGGCUAAUACCGCAUACGCUCUACGGAGGAAAGCCGGGGACCGCAAGGCCUGGCGCUAAUAGAUGAGCCCAAGUCGGAUUAGCUAGUUGGAGGGUAACGGCCUACCAAGGCGACAAUCCGUAGCUGGUCUGAGAGGACGACCAGCCACACCGGAACUGAGACACGGUCCGGACUCCUACGGGAGGCAGCAGUGGGGAAUAUUGGACAAUGGGGGCAACCCUGAUCCAGCGACGCCGCGUGGGUGAAGAAGGCCUGCGGGUUGUAAAGCCCUUUCGGUGGGGAAGAAAAGUCUCGACCUAAUACGUCGGGACCUUGACGUAACCCACUAAAGAAGCACCGGCUAACUCUGUGCCAGCCGCCGCCGUAAC